CUUUCCCACGAAAUACCCUCUCUCCCCUUCCCAUGGAGCAGUAGUGCUUCUCCCCAUUCCUAUCCCGUCUAUCGCUCUCUCACCGCUACUGCACCAGGUCCAUCUCUGUCAAUCUCACUCAUCUGCACCAUAUGCGUCUCUCGCUCUCCCACCGCUGCUGCACCAGGUCCAUAUUGUCAAUCUCACUCACAUGCACCAUAUCCGGAGAACCAGUAGGAAGGCAUAUGCUUCAACAUCAGUGUCAUUCGUAAAGUUGUGUUCUACUUGGGCGUCGGUGGGAAGAGGGCACUUUCAUCUACAAGACUGCACAAUAUUCGAGCCAACAACAUCUAACUUCAAGUCACUGAUCAAGUUAUUAGAGAAUCAACAAUAUUUGAUUGCCUAUGGGAAUUCUGAGAAGCAUCUAAUGAUAGCCAUGUUAGCUCUAAGUUUAGUGAUCCAUGUUGAGUAAAGUGUACUUCUCAAUCUUACAUGUAUAUUUCUUUCUCCUCAUAAAAAAAGGAGUACUCAAUCUUACAUGUUGUAUAUUUUGUUCUCCUCAUAAAAAAGGAGUAAACGUGUAAUCAUAGUAAGAUGUACUCAUCAAUCUUAAUAUACUCUAUUUGAAUCAAAGGCAAUUUUGUUAUA